rnacentral:rRNA from 1 species
UACAGAGGUCUCGAGCGUUGUUCGGAUUCAUUGGGCGUAAAGGGUGCGUAGGUGGCGCUGUAAGUCGGGUGUGAAAUCCUGAGGCUUAACCUCGGAACUGCAUUCGAUACUGCGGUGCUUGAGGACUGGAGAGGAGACUGGAAUUCAUGGUGUAGCAGUGAAAUGCGUAGAGAUCAUGAGGAAGACCAGUGGCGAAGGCGGCGUUCUGGACUGUUACUGACACUGAGGAACGAAAGCCAGGGGAGCAAACGGG